rnacentral:rRNA from 1 species
CACGUAGGGGCCAAGCGUUGUCCGGAUUUAUUGGGCGUAAAGAGCUCGUAGGCGGUCUGUUGCGUCGGCUGUGAAAACCCGGGGCUCAACCCCGGGCCUGCAGCCGAUACGGGCAGACUAGAGUUCGGCAGGGGAGACUGGAAUUCCUGGUGUAGCGGUGAAAUGCGCAGAUAUCAGGAGGAACACCGGUGGCGAAGGCGGGUCUCUGGGCCGAUACUGACGCUGAGGAGCGAAAGCGUGGGGAGCAAACAGG